CGGUAACGCGCUGAGCUGACCAGUACUAAUCGCUCGAUCGGCUUGAUCGCUCUCAUGAU
rnacentral:rRNA from 1 species